rnacentral:rRNA from 1 species
GACGAACGCUCGCGGCGUGCCUAAUACAUGCAAGUUGAGCGAUGAAGAUUGGUGCUUGCCCCAAUUUGAAGAGCAGCGAACGGGUGAGUAACGCGUGGGGAAUCUGCCUUUGAGCGGGGGACAACAUUUGGAAACGAAUGCUAAUACCGCAUAACAACUUUAAACAUAAGUUUUAAGUUUGAAAGAUGCAAUUGCAUCACUCAAAGAUGAUCCCGCGUUGUAUUAGCUAGUUGGUGAGGUAAAGGCUCACCAAGGCGAUGAUACAUAGCCGACCUGAGAGGGUGAUCGGCCACAUUGGGACUGAGACACGGCCCAAACUCCUACGGGAGGCAGCAGUAGGGAAUCUUCGGCAAUGGACGAAAGUCUGACCGAGCAACGCCGCGUGAGUGAAGAAGGUUUUCGGAUCGUAAAACUCUGUUGGUAGAGAAGAACGUUGGUGAGAGUGGAAAGCUCAUCAAGUGACGGUAACUACACAGAAAGGGACGGCUAACUACGUG